ACGAGGUGUGCGAGCGUUGUUCGGAAUCACUGGGCAUAAAGAGUUCGUAGGUGGCUUUGUAAGUUGGUUGUGAAAUCCCUCGGCUCAACCGGGGAAUUGCUGCCACUACUGCAAGGCUUGAGUGCGAAAGGGGCGACUGGAAUUCCAGGUGUAGCGGUGGAAUGCGUAGAUAUCUGGGAGAACGCCAAAGGCGAAGGCAGGUCGCUGGGUCGUAACUGACACUGAGGAACGAAAGCUAGGGGAGCAAACAG
rnacentral:rRNA from 1 species